GGAAAAUGUAAAGAAGAAUGUAUUUUUCUAAUGUUUCCUUUUGAAUUAUAUAUUAAUUUUAUUCCACACUAAAGCCAUGUGUGUUACUUGGUUUACCUUUUCCCCAUUUUACUUCUACAGUGCUAAUUUCAUGCAAAAAAGGGCAGCUUUCUUUCCAUGUGGAAAGAAGAAUAAUUUGACAAGAUGUGAAAGUAUAGUGGCAACAAGGGAAGGGAAAAUAAGAAAGGUGGCAGGACUAGAAGCAGCCUGGGUUUCUGGAUACUUCUCCUGGAGGCAGCCCACACCUGAAGAAUUCCCCUUCUACAUGCAUCAGGAAUGACGAGGGCUGCAGGGUACGUGCUGGUUUUUGUAUCCGUGGCAAUGUAUGUGUUUGGCCCUGGGCAUGCUCGGUACUGGGGAAGGGGACAAGGAGACUGGUAAGGCAGGGCAGUACUGGGAACCACUGAAGAGAAUGGCCCAAGGCCUUUGGUUAAAGUUCUGGUCUAGGAAUUCUCAGGACUGACUUGUCUUUAUCUCAGAAAUGGUUUGUAAGUUGCUAUAAAGAUUAUGAAGAGCCUUGCAGUUCAGUAAAGGUAAUUGCUUUCCUUUAUUAUAGGAAAAAGUGGCUGUAGUACUGUUCCUACGCUCUUGUGUGCAAAUGUUUUUCCUUCUUCCAUGCAUCUCAUUUGAAGGAUGUUUUGUUCUGCCCUACCAACCACUGAUAUGAUGGCGAUAGAUUCUUGUCUUUGCUGUUUCAAUGAAUGCACAGUGCUCCCAUAAUGAGGAUGUAGCUGUGUUGGGCGAUCCAUGAGAGGUUUUGUACAAGCAUAUUUCAAGUGCUUUUGGAAACAUUACUCACCCUACUUCAAAUCAGCAUAUAAAAGGAGCUAAUGCCUCCAUUAAAAAUAUUUUUAGUCCUGUUCCUCUAGGCUCAGACUUCCUUAAUUUUGUCUGUCUUUAUCCUCUGAAAGUCUGUGCUGAAGUACUGACUGUGUGGGGCUGCACAUGGUAAGUUAAUGGUAGAAGAGGCAAGCCGAAUAUUUUUGGGCAAGGAUAACACUGAUUCCUCCUCCACGGAAAAGAACAAAGACAAGGUCUGCCUUAAUAUGAAACCAGGCAGCCAUCCAGAAACCCCAAGGACUGGCUUUCCUCCUUGCUUAUAUUUUUGCCACUUAAAAAUGUUGUUUUUUUUUUCAGAAAGCAUUUUGAUCGAUAACAAUGAAAUGCGCCAAACACACUUUAGAAAGGGGUUGCUAUGAUUGCUAUUUACAGAUAAAGAAAUGGAUACAGAGAGAUGAAGUGGCUUGUUUACCACUCCACAGUAAAUCAAGAGAAAGAAAGGCAGCACUGAGAGUCCAUGUUGAGUCCCUGGCUCUUGGCGAUUGUUUACACCUGUGCAUUGGAAGGAACACUGUACCCUAUCAGCAUGGUAGCAUUUAACCCUCAUUCUGUGCCAGUGUAAAUGAGGUUGCAAGGUGGAAAGUGGUGGAGAGCAAGGCCUCUGAACUACAAGGCUGAGGGUGUUCAGAUGGGGAGCAGAUAUGAUGACAUAAUGAAAUUAAAUAAAGCAAAAGAAGAUUAAAUUAAAACA
ensembl:lncRNA